rnacentral:tRNA from 1 species
GGGGUUGUGGCUCAUUGGUAGAGCACUCGCUUAGCAUGUGCGGAGUUCUGGGUUCCAUCCUCAGCACCACA